AAUACUACGAUGCUUUCUUCCACUAAUAAUACUCCUUCAUCAACUAAUAAUAAUAAAGUGUAACCCUGCACUCUCAAAAGACCACUCAAAACACAUAAAUUCCAUCCAAUACCAGAAAUAACAAACUUCUACUCCAAUCAAUCUAACUUCAUACAAUUUCUAAAAUCACGGAUUUUCUCUGUUGAAAUACACACAACUCUCAAUAAACAACAAUCAUAAUCUUUCA
rnacentral:lncRNA from 1 species